rnacentral:tRNA from 1 species
GGCGAGGUGGCCGAGUGGUUAUGGCGAUGGACUGCUGAUCCAUUGCGCUCUGCCUCCGUGGGUUCGAGUCCAACCCUCGUCG